ACCCGGUUCGAGAGGGCCACAAGUUUCUGUAGUCUCAAGUUUGGUGGUGUUGGUCGAGCUACCAAGUAGCGAAGAGACAAUAUUCUAAAUCUCACAUUACCUAGAGGAAGAAGUGAAGUACAAAAUAUAAUAGGUCAAAUGUCAUAACCUAGUGAAUGUGUUUUCUAGGCCAAAGGAUCCAAAAGAACAAAUAUGUGUAGGCCAAUAUAGACUACUCAAAGUGGAUAAUUAAUAUUCACUAAGCCUAUGGAGGGGCAGGCUGUGUUACAGUUAAUAUCAGAGUUGAGGCUUCAGGAUUGAAGGUAUGAGAUUCACGAGGACGUGAGUCCUUGAGAGAGGAGACUGUAGCACCCGACUCAAGUGGACAAGGCCACAAGCCUCUACAGUCUAGAGUGUUAAGUUUAGUGGUAUUAAUUGAGCUACAGAGUGGCGAAAUGACUCAGUGUUUUAAAUCUUAUAUUGCACAAUAAAAGAAGUGAAAUGUAUAAUAUAAUAGCUCAAAUCUCCUAACCUAAUGAAUGUCUUUUUUGGACCAAAACGCAAAAUAUUCACUAAACCUAAGGAAGGGUAUGCUCUUAAGUAUGUACAACUAUAUAUAUUACCUGGUGAGGAACCAACAUUGCUGCAUAACGAGCAAGCUCCCCGGCUCGCCAGUCCAACAACACGGGCAGCCAUGGAUAGGUACUCUUUUGGCUCCGCUGUGAAUGAAUCAAGAACAACAUAGUUGCAGAUUGAAAUGGUGACAAGUCAAGGCGACUGAUUAUGUCAUUAUCUAUAACAACAUCAAAUCGGCCUUCCCUUGGAGGCAUUGGAGGUUCAACCUUAGUUUCAUCUGUCAAAUUUUCCAUAUAAAC